AUUGAACGCUGGCGGCAUGCCUUACACAUGCAAGUCGAACGGCAGCACGGGUGCUUGCACCUGGUGGCGAGUGGCGAACGGGUGAGUAAUACAUCGGAACAUGUCCUGUAGUGGGGGAUAGCCCGGCGAAAGCCGGAUUAAUACCGCAUACGAUCUACGGAUGAAAGCGGGGGACCUUCGGGCCUCGCGCUAUAGGGUUGGCCGAUGGCGGAUUAGCUAGUUGGUGGGGUAAAGGCCUACCAAGGCGACGAUCAGUAGCUGGUUUGAGAGGACGACCAGCCACACUGGGACUGAGACACGGCCCAGACUCCUACGGGAGGCAGCAGUGGGGAAUUUUGGACAAUGGGCGAAAGCCUGAUCCAGCAAUGCCGCGUGUGUGAAGAAGGCCUUCGGGUUGUAAAGCACUUUUGUCCGGAAAGAAAUCCUUGGCCCUAAUACGGUCGGGGGAUGACGGUACCGGAAGAAUAAGCACCGGCUAACUACGUG
rnacentral:rRNA from 1 species